rnacentral:rRNA from 1 species
AUUGAACGCUGGCGGCAGGCCUAACACAUGCAAGUCGAGCGGUAGAGAGAAGCUUGCUUCUCUUGAGAGCGGCGGACGGGUGAGUAAUGCCUAGGAAUCUGCCUGGUAGUGGGGGAUAACGUUCGGAAACGGACGCUAAUACCGCAUACGUCCUACGGGAGAAAGCAGGGGACCUUCGGGCCUUGCGCUAUCAGAUGAGCCUAGGUCGGAUUAGCUAGUUGGUGGGGUAAUGGCUCACCAAGGCGACGAUCCGUAACUGGUCUGAGAGGAUGAUCAGUCACACUGGAACUGAGACACGGUCCAGACUCCUACGGGAGGCAGCAGUGGGGAAUAUUGGACAAUGGGCGAAAGCCUGAUCCAGCCAUGCCGCGUGCGUGAAGAAGGUCUUCGGAUUGUAAAGCACUUUAAGUUGGGAGGAAGGGUUGUAGAUUAAUACUCUGCAAUUUUGACGUUACCGACAGAAUAAGCACCGGCUAACUCUGUG